UACGUAGGGUGCAGGCGUUUAAUCGGAAUUACUGGGCGUAAAGCGUGCGCAGGCGGUUUGCUAAGACAGGUGUGAAAUCCCCCGGGCUUAACCUGGGAACUGCGCUUGUAACUGGCAAGCUAGAGUGUGGCAGAGGGGGGGUGGAAUUCCACGUGUAGCAGUGAAAUGCGUAGAGAUGUGGAGGAACACCGAUGGCGAAGGCAGCCCCCCUGGGC
rnacentral:rRNA from 1 species